rnacentral:RNase_P_RNA from 1 species
GCAGGCAGAAUGUGGCUGCCCUGUCGUAAAAACAGGGAGGAAAGUCCGGGCUCCAGAGGAUAACGUAAUGGGUAACACCCAUCUUCCGGUUUUUCCGGAACGGAUUAGAACCACAGAGACGAGUACCCCGCCUCGGCGGGGGAGGUGAAACGCGGUAAUCUCUACGUGGAGCAAGGUAUAAAAGGGAUGAGUGCUGAUCCGGCGCGCUUCCGUAUUCGAAAUUUGCGGAAAAUUAAUCCUGGGUAAGCUGCUAAAGUUCUGGGAGUGAUCCAAGAAUUGAGAGGAAUAGCCACUAAUCGAUGCGUAAAAUUCGCAUCAAGACAGAACCCGGCUUAUUCUGCCUGCUGAU